GGGGGUGUCAGGUUUCGACAGAGGGGAAGAUCUGUAGAUUGCAGGCCGAGGAUGGUGGCUCCCUCGAAAAUCCGCUACCACGCCAUUAACUGGCAAUCGCGAACUCGCUUACGCGGCCUAAACCCCGCGUACUUCACUCCGGCCUCCACCUGAUGGGCCGGAAUCUGAAGCCACUUAGUUAGGUUGCUGUGCGCUGGAACGCCGGGUAAGGCGCACAAAAGACUACUCGGCUGGUGCCUCGAGAUCCUGUCGGCGAGAGCCUGAGGCAUAAGAGCUAAAUCACCGAACAAGCCUGUAGUACAUCUCCAGUCAACCUGCCCUGGACGGGGGUUUCAAUUACCCCCCACCUCCACCA
rnacentral:tmRNA from 1 species